rnacentral:rRNA from 1 species
AAAUUGAAGAGUUUGAUCAUGGCUCAGAUUGAACGCUGGCGGCAGGCCUAACACAUGCAAGUCGAACGGUAACAGGAAGCAGCUUGCUGCUUUGCUGACGAGUGGCGGACGGGUGAGUAAUGUCUGGGAAACUGCCUGGUGGAGGGGGAUAACUACUGGAAACGGUAGCUAAUACCGCAUAACGUCGCAAGACCAAAGAGGGGGACCUUCGGGCCUCUUGCCAUCGGAUGUGCCCAGAUGGGAUUAGCUAGUAGGUGGGGUAA